AUGGGAACCAUGGGGUACCUGGCGUCGGAGCUGGUGCGCACCGGCAAGGCGACGACCCUCUCCGACGUGUUCGCCUUCGGGGCGUUCCUCCUGGAGGUCGCCUGCGGCCGGAGGCCCAUCGAGGAGGAAGAGGAGGAGGACGUCUACGGCGACGUCGACCGCUUCGUGCUGGCGGACUGGGUGCUGGGGCACUGGCGGAAUGGCGCCAUUGCCCGCGCGGUGGAAGCGGACAAUGUGCUGCGGCUGGGGCUGACGUGCCUGCACCCGUCGCCCGCGGCACGCCCGAGCAUGAAAAUGGUGAUGCAGUACCUCGACGGCAGCGCGCUGUUGCCGGAGCUUCCCCCGACGUACGUGACGGUCAACGUGCUUGCGGUCAUGGAGACACACCAGGGCGUCCUUGGCACGUGGGCGGUCUGGCGGUCGGCGUCCAGCGUCGCCACCAUGUCUGACAUUGGCCUCUCCGGCCGAUGA
rnacentral:rRNA from 1 species